UGCAGGCUGGCCGAGCGCCGUGGGCUUUGUCAUGCGGAGGGCAGGAGGGGAGCCCCAGCUCCCCGGCUCGGCUCUCCGGGGAAGGUUCCGGAGCGGCCGGGGGCAGGGCGGGCGCCCGCUGCAGACAGCGGCUCUGUGCGCGCAGAAGGACGAGGCUGGAAGGGGCGAUCCCGCUGUGGGCCUGAGAAGCCGCCAAAGAAGGCGUGUCUGGCCUUUCCGCUUGUUGGAAGAAGAAAAACCGUUUCCAGUCGAAAGCCACUGUGAUGUGAUACCGUUGAAAUUAGUUGUUGCGGGAGUUGAGACAGCGGGGUUCGGGUCGGCCGUGUGAAGGAGCCGUGCCCGUGACCCCCGAGUGCCCGCCUCACCCCUCCCCGAUGCCGUCAAAGCCCAGAGGCUGCUCAUCAGAAUGCUGUCCUGCUGUCCGUGUGUCCAGCCUUGCCCUCCCCCCCCCCCCCGCCACUGAGCUCAGCACAGAACCCUCCGGUUCCGUCCCAGCUGAACUCGAAACUGCACCUUCUUGGGACAAACCCCGGACCCGCUGUGUCUGCCUCCGUCCCUUCCUCCGUCCCUCGCUCCUGGGUGCCCGGGCUCCUUCUGGAUCUUGGCUUUUCUGUGAACGGACAGAGGUGUGCCAAUACCUUUGCGAGUGAUGGGUUUUGUGCCGGGGGACGGGGAGAUGCCGGGCAGUGGGGCUGUGGGCCGGUGUCUCUGUGCUUUUUCCUGUUGAGCUGAGCCAGAGGAGACCCCUCCCCCAACAGUGAGCAAGGGUCCCGUCUCAAGGUCCCCACAGCACCUGGUGUCUGUUGUCUGCUACAGCCAGUACCUGGCUUCCUUUCAGGCCCAUUUUCCUGAUAACAAGUGGGGCCUUGCCCUCCCCCCUUUUUUUUUUAGCUUUUUGUUUUUGGGGUCACACCCAGCGAUGCUCAGAGGAUACUCCUGGCUCUGCACUCAGGAAUGACUCCUGUAGGUGCUCGGGGGACCCUAUGGGAUGCUGGGAAUCAAACUAGGGUUGGCGCGGGCAAGGCAAACGCCCUCCCCACUGUACCAUCUCUCCAGCCCCUCUUUCCUAUUUUUUGAUGGGGCUUUUUGUUUCAUUGCUGCUGAGACGUGAGUAGAGUACUUUAUGUAUCUUAUGUGUUUGUGUGUGUGUGUGUGUGUGUGUGUGUACUUACAUAUAUAAAACAUGAUGGAUGGUGGGCAAAUGUUUCCUCCAAUUUAGUAGGGUGUCUUUAUUUUAUUUUUGGCUCAGCACUUACUCCUGGCUUUGCACCUAGGGGUCAUGCCUGGCAGGUUCCCCUGGGUGCCGGGAUGGAAGCGGGGUGGGUCUCCUGUCCAAGACAAACAACCUGCUUGCUGCUCCUGCAGGCCCUAGGGUGUCUUUAUUUGAGCGUCAUUUGUUUUACAUUGCAGAAAGCUUUUUGUUUGACAUAGUCCUAUUUACUUAUUUGGGGUGUGUGUGUGUGUGUGUGUGUGUGUGUGUGUGUGUGUGUGUGUGUGUGUUUUCUUAGCCAAUGGCGAUGGCCUUGAUCCAUUGAUGGUAUCUUUGAAGUCAGUAUUCAUCCAAGGGCUCUGCCUUUGAAGCCAGACUGCUGACCGUUUCGCCCUGCCCUGCCUGCUCUACCUGCCACAAAGGCCCAUUCCCGCAAAAGUCUACAGUGAAAUGAUCCGAACCUUCUACGUGAUGAAGAUAAGGAGCUAGGUGAAAUGCCGGAAGUUUAGAUCCGUGGAGCUUUUUUUUCUUUUUUUCUUUUUGGGUCAUAUCCAGCGAUGCACAGGGGUUACUCCUGGCAGUGCUUGGGGGACCAUAUGGGAUGCUGGGGAUCGAAUCCAGGUCGGCCUCCUGCAAGGCAAAUGCCCUACCCUCUGUGCUAUCACUUCAGCCCCUGUGGGACUUUUUUUCUGUUGUCGUGCUGGGGGCUGUGUGUGUCUGGGAUGGUCUCUGGAUCUUCAACCUAGGGGCAUUUAUUCCACCCCCCCAGCUCUCUCCCCUCCCAGCCUCCUGUUUUAAAAAAGGAACUUUUCUUUGCAGUGUUACAGGUGAGUGUUACAUCUGCUUACAGUUUGCAGCGUUUCUGUGGUGUGAUUCACGCGGCCCGGGAUUCUCCCAGCUCAAGUGUAGUGAAAGGGUAGUAGGACAGUAGGAAGGCCAGCACCGGGAUACGGAAUAUAAUUUUCGCAAAAGAACUGCCUUGGAGUCUGCGCAUGCCUGAACCCUUUCCAGGUGUGUGUGUGUGUGUGUGUGUGUGUGUGUGUGUGUGUAUGUUCAUGUGUGCAUGUGCGGGUGCGCCAUAGGUGUGAAUGUUUGUCAUGCACAUAUGCUGUUGUUACAAAUGUCUGUGCAGCUUUUAUUGAUUGUUUUAUUGAGAAAGGAAAGAAAUCAAAUUAAGAUGUUAAAGAGUGCGAUAUUAUUUAAAAUAGUGUUUGAAGCCACUUUUGUCUAAAAUUACCUUUUGCACAUGGUUGUUCAUCCUGGACUAUUGGUUUUUCUUUUUUCUUUUUUAUUUUUUUUUGUCUCACCUGGCGAUGUGCAGGGCUGACUCCUGGCUCUGGGGUCACUCCUGGCGGGCUCAGGGGACGGCAUGGGGUACAGGGGAUCGAACCUGAGUCAGGCGCGUGUGUAAGGCAAGCACCCUCCACAUUGUCCUGUUUCUGUAGACCCUUGAUCUCUGUUUUAAUUACAAAGCCCUACUGGCAUAGUUUUCGUAAAUAUUUUCAAAAUAUCAGGCUAGUGAAAAUUCAAUCUCUGUCUCUUUACUUUGGCACGUGCUUCUUCACUAUUUUUCAAGCAAUCGCUAGAAUUUG